rnacentral:rRNA from 1 species
AGAGUUUGAUCAUGGCUCAGAACGUACGCUGGCGGCACGCCUAACACAUGCAAGUCGAACGAAGUAGCAAUACUUAGUGGCAGACGGGUGAGUAACAUGUAGGUAUCUGCCCUUUGGCCUGGAAUAACACGAGGAAACUUGUGCUAAUACCGGAUAAGUCUUUACGGAGAAAGCUUUAUGCACCAUUGGAUGAGCCUGCACUUGAUUAGUUUGUUGGUGGGGUAAUGGCCUACCAAGACUGUGAUCAAUAGCUGAUUUGAGAGGAUGAUCAGCCACAUUGGGACUGAGACACGGCCCAAACUCCUACGGGAGGCAGCAGUGGGGAAUCUUGCACAAUGGAGGAAACUCUGAUGCAGCGAUGCCGCGUGAGUGAAGAAGGCCCUUGGGUUGUAAAGCUCUUUCGUCGGGGAAGAAAAUGACUGUACCCGAAUAAGAAGGUCCGGCUAACUUCGUGCCAGCAGCCGCGGUAAUACGAAGGGACCUAGCGUAGUUCGGAAUUACUGGGCUUAAAGAGUUCGUAGGUGGUUGAAAAAGUUAGUGGUGAAAUCCCAGAGCUUAACUCUGGAACUGCCAUUAAAACUUUUCAGCUAGAGUAUGAUAGAGGAAAGCAGAAUUUCUAGUGUAGAGGUGAAAUUCGUAGAUAUUAGAAAGAAUACCAAUUGCGAAGGCAGCUUUCUGGAUCAUUACUGACACUGAGGAACGAAAGCAUGGGUAGCGAAGAGGAUUAGAUACCCUCGUAGUCCAUGCCGUAAACGAUGUGUGUUAGACGUUGGAAAUUUAUUUUCAGUGUCGCAGGGAAACCGAUAAACACACCGCCUGGGGAGUACGACCGCAAGGUUAAAACUCAAAUGAAUUGACGGGGACCCGCACAAGUAGUGGAGCAUGUGGUUUAAUUCGAAGAUACGCGCAGAACCUUACCAACACUUGACAUGUUCGUCGCGACUCUAAGAGAUUAGAGUUUUCGGUUCGGCCGGACGAAACACAGGUGCUGCAUGGCUGUCGUCAGCUCGUGUCGUGAGAUGUUGGGUUAAGUCCCGCAACGAGCGCAACCCUCACUUUUAGUUGCCAUCAUUAAGUUGGGCACUCUGAAAGAACUGCCAGUGAUAAGCUGGAGGAAGGUGGGGAUGACGUCAAGUCCUCAUGGCCCUUACGUGUUGGGCUACACACGUGCUACAAUGGUAUCUACAACAGGAAGCAAA